UUGGCGGACGGGUGAGAAACACGUGAGCAACCUACCUUUUGCAGGGGAAUAACAGUGGGAAACCACUGCUAAUACCGCAUAACAUCACGAGGGGACAUCCUCUUGUGAUCAAAGGAGAAAUCCGGCAGGAGAUGGGCUCGCGUCCGAUUAGUUAGUUGGCGGGGUAACGGCCCACCAAGACCGCGAUCGGUAGCCGACCUGAGAGGGUGAUCGGCCACAUUGGAACUGAGACACGGUCCAAACUCCUACGGGAGGCAGCAGUGGGGAAUAUUGCACAAUGGGCGAAAGCCUGAUGCAGCAACGCCGCGUGAAGGAUGAAGGCCUUUGGGUCGUAAACUUCUGUCCUUGGGGAGGAAAAAAAUGACGGUACCCCUGGAGGAAGUCCCGGCUAACUACGUGCCAGCAGCCGCGGUAAU
rnacentral:rRNA from 1 species